AUCAACUCCUGGAAAUUAUAAACGGUAUCUAGCCAGUUUUUCGUCGAUUUCAAAUUUAUAAUUCUACUUGAUUGAUAUAUAUUUUAACUGAAGUUUCUAUUCACCUUUCUAUUCAAUCGGUCAACAUAAACUCCUGGAAACUAUAAACGGCAUCUAGCCAAAAUUCUCCCGUCGAUUGCAAAUCUAUAAUUCUACUUGACUAAUAUAUAUUUUAACUGAAAUUUCUAUUCACCUUAUACUACCUUUUUAUUCACAAUCGGUCAACAUAAACUCCUGGAAACUAUAAACGGCGUCCAGCCAAAAUUCUCCCGCCAAUUGAAAAUCUAUAGUCCUAUUUGACUAAGAUAUAUUUUUUGACUGAAGAUAUGUACACAUUUUACUAAUAUUUCUAAUUAAAAUAUUUAGUAUCGAAAGAGAACAAAAAAAUAUUAACAACUCGUUUUAUAUAUUUUUUCGCAGUUUACUUUCUAUUCACCUUUCUAUUCAAUCGGUCAACAUAAACUCCUGGAAACUAUAAACAGCAUCCAGCCAAAAUUCUCCCAUCGAUUACAAAUCUAUAGUCCUAUUUAACUGACAUAUAUUUUUUAACUGAAGUUUACUACCUUCCUAUUCACAACAUAGAUCAACUCCUGGAAACUAUAAACGGCGUCUAGCCAAAGUUUUUCGUCGAUUACAAAUCGUUUAAUAAAUAAAAUCUAUAAUUCUACUUGACUGAUAUAUAUUUUAACUGAAGUUUCUAUUCACCUUAUACUACCUUUCUAUUCACAAUUGGUCAACAUAAACUCCUGGAAACUAUAAACGGCAUCCAGGCAAAAUUCUCCCAUCGAUUACAAAUCUAUAGUCCUAUUUAACUGACAUAUAUUUUUUGACUGAAGUUUCUAUUCACCUUUCUAUUCAAUCGGUCAACAUAAACUCCUGGAAACUAUAAACGGCGUCCAGCCAAAGUUCUCCUGCUGAUUGCAAAUCUAUAAUUCUACUUGACUGAUAUAUAUUUUAACUAAAGUUUCUAUUCACCUUUCUAUUCAAUCGGUCAACAUAAACUCCUGGAAACUAUAAACGGCGUCCAGCCAAACUUCUCCCUCCGAUUGCGAAUCUAUUAAUAGCGGAACAGGGGAUCUGAAGUUGGCACCCUUAACUUAUAUAACAAUUAUAUCCCCCGGAUCAAGACUCGAAACGUGGAGGCGAUACGGGAAGGCUCCGCGGAAGCUUUGCCGGGAUAAAGGAUGGACGGGACAUCCCAAACCCUGUUAGUUCCCAAGUAGAAUAUCCUGUCGCCAAUCAACGCAACAGUCUCCCCUUUAAAGUCUCCCCCCACAGUCUCGCAUGGCCCCAGGGUACGAAAAGCGAGGGAUGCCGGCCAGAAAUCAGAGGGGGAUUUGUUGGAUCGAAAAGGAUGAUGCGUGGCUUGAAGGGAUAAGAUGAGAAGAGCUGGACGAUUCCAACAAACCCAAAUCCUGUAAUUUUUGUCGUGUAUGAGCCUUUGCUUUUACGAUGCAUAUUCGAUACAUUUCGUUCCUUGAAAGUUCAUAAAUUCAAUAUAAUGUUAACUUUUAAUAAAAAUUACGAAUUUUUUGAUUAAUUCAAUAAUUUCUU